AGUUCAAAUAUAUAUAAAGUUUGAAAAACAAAUUUUGAUUAAACUGUUAAAAGACAACUAAAAGUAACAAAGUUUUUGAAGAGAGGAAAAACAACCUAGGCAUGCAGGUGUACUAUAGCCAUGCAUGUGUCAGUCUAUAGGAAAGAAAAGAAAGGCAGAGGGGCAUGCACAUGCAAAGGGCCCGGAUCCAUAUGUUGGAGCAGCGGUUGUGAUUGGCGUUGCACGCACAACCAAUUAGGAAACGCCCUAUUCGGAUGCGGAGUGAUGUGGUGAGGAGCAACAGUUGCAGAGCAUUAGCACUGCGGCAACGCACUUCUAUGAUGGUGUAGUGCUUUCACAGACGAGGAAAAGAACGCAUAUACAAGCUCAUAUAUUUGUUAUCUUCUUUCCUGAAUCAUGAUUCCUGUUCCGGAACUACUUCCAUGUCUAAUACUUUGGUGUCCGACCUUGGUAUGUGUACAAUUCAGUAGGUGUUCUACAUUUUUUUCACAAGCAUUGAUGGUUAAAUAGCAGCAUCGUACAAAAAUUGGAUGAAUUAAUACGUCAUGUGUAUAUUAGCAUUGUUUAUAUCCCAUCUUUUUUCCACCAAAAAAAUCAACAUUUAUGCAUGGUGAUGGAAAGUAGUUUAAUUAUAGUCUUGCUAUAUAGUUUAUCUUUCAGGAGGCUAGAAAUGUAUUUAUAUUCUGUGGAGACUAGAGAAUUAUUUUCUAUUCUGUGGAGGCUACAGUUUCUUUUAAUAUUCUCACUUGCCCAAAUGAUGGGAAGUGAACAAUUUUUUCCUUCACCAAAACUCUUCCAGGGAAUCGUCGAAAUUGUCAAAAUUGUAUCGUACUCAUAUAAAACGAACUCAGAAUCAGGUUAUUCAAUACUUAGCAAACUUGCUGGAUAGAAAGAACAACCGUAGUUUGGUUGGGUUCAUCUUUGCACUGCUAUUUGUAAUGAUGCUGAAAGAUGAGUAAUACAAGUUUUACCCACAGAAAGAAAGAAUGUGAGCUCCUUAAAAGCAUUAUAAUGCCAAUUUAUUGCCAUUCUUACUCUUAUAUUCAUGCAAUGUUGAUUUAUGUUUUUAUUGAUCAUUGGAUGGACUAUUUAAGUCUUGGUCGUAAGUAUUUACUACCAUUUAUGAAGUUGGUAGCUCCUUCCGGACAGUAUAUAAACUUUAGUGCAUCUUAAUGCAGGUAUUGGUUGUCCAUUUCCUUUCUGAACACAUGAGCUUUGGUAUGGAUCUUGGGAGCAAGUCAUCCUCAGUUUGCUUCCAGUGGAGUAGCAGUGGCGGGGAAGUGGGGGAAUAUUAUGUCCUACCACACUAUAAGGAGCACAUGUCUGUAGGGAAGGAGUUUAUCGAGGAUCUGUGAGCCAAUAAAUAAUACGGAGACGUAUGAUAUCAAUAUGGAACCCAGCCCAAUUUUGGUUCAGCAUCUUUUUUUAGGAGCUCUUUUGGUGCAGGAAUAAUCAACUAAGAUGACAUUAGUAGUAUAUGUCAACGUACAAGAGUUUGUGAUGACCAAAUAUGAGAUUUCUGGUGCUUAGGUGCGGGUGCCGUCGGUACUCCUCUGCUUCCCAACGGACUCCGACGUCCUGGUCUGAUAGCAGAGAAGCCAAAUCAUGGCCAGUUCGUACCAGCACCAAUAGUACUCCGGCAAUCUGGGAUAUUAGUUACUAAAGAAAAUGGUUUGAGGUCAAGAGUUGAAAGCCUGAAGCCAGAUGUUCCUACGAUGACCUACACAACUCUUGAGAAACAAAACCAACACAUUAUGUGCCUGCAAGAUUGAAGAUCGUACAUAUAUUUACUUUGCUCCAGGAUCCUAUAGUAGUGCAUUACUCUCAAGAAAAUAUGUCCUAGAGGCAAUAAUAAAGUUAUUAUUUAUUUCCUUAUUUCAUGAUAAAUGUUUAUUAUUCAUGCUAGAAUUGUAUUAA